CAGCUUGGAUCCACUGCACACGGGUGCUCUUCGAUCCUCCUCGUAAACCGGGUCCCCAACAGUGACGAGUGCGCGUGUGACUCUUCCGAAAAGAAAACCGUGCGUGACGUAGACAAGAAAGUGCGUGACAGACGACUUCCAGUGCGUGACAGUUGAAAGUUCAAGUGCGGGAAAACCCUAGUGCACAAAGGAUUUACAGUGCCGCUGUGCCAGCGGAGCCUAGUUUCCGUCCAGGAGGAUAUUUCGAGUUGUCGGCGGAAGUGUUACUUGUUAAACGAGGGAUAACCCACGCACAAGUAUGGAUUGAGACCCGGGACUGAGUGAGUCAAAUUCCUUUCUUUCAAGCUUUUUCUGUUUUUCUCCAUCCUCCGACAGGCGAAACUCACCCUCGUUCUAUUUCACCUCUUCCUCGAAAUAAAGUUGGCACAGACUCUGCUGAAAGCGUCCCUCCAUCAGUCGGCUCCCAAUUGAGCUUUCCAAGAUGCGAAUGAAACGAGACCCUCGUAGGUCCGGUUAAAUUUAAAAUUGUCUAACGUUUCUAAAGUCGUUGUUACUUUUUCUUUUUCACUAGCCAAAGCGAAGGAAUAGCGGGCAUGAUCGAAUGACUAGUUCUUUAUGAAAACUAAGAGCAAUGGAAGUCACGGGGUUGCCACUGAGGUCCGAGCAACAACGGCGCGACGCUACCAACCUUAUCGUCAAGCACUUCAAGAAUCUCAAGUUCAAGAAAAAACUGGCAAAGCAUCAAAGACAAUGACACUUACUGUUCAAGAAGCGGGCUGACAACCUUCACCUGCGCCCGGCAUGCCGACAGAGGGCGCAAGCUGAUCGAAAUCAACCGGAACCCGUGCUCACAAGACACAGCGAGAGGUCCGCAUCACGGUAGCAGAGUGUGGUGAGCCUGAGCGUGCCCCAAGGCGAAUUCUGGAUCCACCGUGGUUAAGUCCUCAAAGAGCACCGCCGGGCGAUAGCAGCAGCGAAGGACUGAGCAACAAAGCACUGACCACUACGGGCACCGUAGCGAACU
rnacentral:lncRNA from 1 species